GACGAACGCUGGCGGCUUGCUUAACACAUGCAAGUCGAACGGAAAGGCCCUGCUUUUGUGGGGUGCUCGAGUGGCGAACGGGUGAGUAACACGUGAGUAACCUGCCCUUGACUUUGGGAUAACUUCAGGAAACUGUGGCUAAUACCGGAUAGGAGCUCCUGCUGCAUGGUGGGGGUUGGAAAGUUUCGGCGGUUGGGGAUGGACUCGCGGCUUAUCAGCUUGUUGGUGGGGUAGUGGCUUACCAAGGCUUUGACGGGUAGCCGGCCUGAGAGGGUGACCGGCCACAUUGGGACUGAGAUACGGCCAAGACUCCUACGGGAGGCAGCAGUGGGGAAUAUUGCACAAUGGGCGGAAGCCUGAUGCAGCAACGCCGCGUGCGGGAUGACGGCCUUCGGGUUGUAAACCGCUUUCGCCUGUGACGAAGCGUGAGUGAAGGUAAUGGGUAAAGAAGCACCGGCUAACUACGUG
rnacentral:rRNA from 1 species